UACGGGGGGGGUAAGCGUUGUUCGGAAUUACUGGGCGUAAAGGGCUCGUAGGCGGCCAACUAAGUCAGACGUGAAAUCCCUAGGCUCAACCUAGGAACUGCGUCUGAUACUGGAUGGCUUGAAUCCGGGAGAGGGAUGCAGAAUUCCAGGUGUAGCGGUGAAAUGCGUAGAUAUCUGGAGGAAUACCGGUGGCGAAGGCGGCAUCCUGGACCGACAUUGACGCUGAUGAGCGAAAGCCAGGGGAGCAAACGGG
rnacentral:rRNA from 1 species